AUUGAACGCUGGCGGCAGGCCUAACACAUGCAAGUCGAACGAGCGGCGGACGGGUGAGUAAUGUAUGGGGAUCUGCCCGAUGGAGGGGGAUAACUACUGGAAACGGUAGCUAAUACCGCAUACUAUCCGAUGAACCCAAAUGGGAUUAGCUUGUCGGUGGGGUAAAGGCUCACCUAGGCGACGAUCUCUAGCUGGUCUGAGAGGAUGACCAGCCACACGGGGACUGAGACACGGUCCAGACUCCUACGGGAGGCAGCAGUGGGGAAUAUUGCACAAUGGGCGCAAGCCUGAUGCAGCCAUGCCGCGUGUAUGAAGAAGGCCUUCGGGUUGUAAAGUACUUUCAGCGGGGAGGCGUUACCCGCAGAAGAAGCACCGGCUAACUCCGUGCCAGCAGCCGCGGUAAUUC
rnacentral:rRNA from 1 species